rnacentral:lncRNA from 1 species
GUUAGAGACUAUGCAGUUCUGUAGGCUGAGGAGACAAGAAAGGGUAGAAAGGAGAACCAGGUAGAAAGGGAGCCAAAAGAUAUGUUUCCCUCAAACUUUUAAUAAUGCUACGGGGGGGGGGGGACGCCACAAUAGUAGAGAGAGUUAAAAUGAAGUAGUUCAAUAAUGAGAGGCUGAAAGAUAGCAAAGGGAGCUGGACAGAUGGCUCCGUGGUUAAGAACACUGGACAGAUGGCUCCGUGGUUAAGAACACUGGACAGAUGGCUCCGUGGUGAAGAACGCUGGACAGGUGGCUCCGUGGUGAAGAACGCUGGUCAGGUGGCUCCGUGGUGAAGAACGCUGGUCAGGUGGCUCCGUGGUGAAGAACGCUGGUCAGGUGGCUCCGUGGUGAAGAACACUGGCUUCUCUUGUCAAGGACUGGGUUCCUUUCUCAGCACCCACAUGGUGGCUCAUGAUUGUCAUUAACUCUGGUCCCAGGAGAUCUGAUGCCCUCUUCAGGCUCCUGCAGCUUAUUGCCAUAAAAGUCUACAACUUUACUAUUCAUUGGCAUAAGACAACCAACUCUGGAGCCAUGGUCCCAGGUUCAUCUUUGACAACAGAAUAACCAGUUGGCAAAAGACACAAGGC